rnacentral:lncRNA from 12 species
UAUUUUUUUCGUGUUGAAUAAUAGCUCUUUUGUCUUGGCAAAUGGAGCAUAUAUACUGCAUUAGAAAAAGGUAAUUAAAUCGUUUUUGAAAUGACGAAAGUGCAGAUUUUUGACUUGGACUAAUCAGUAACAAUUUCAUUGUCGAAUCUAUGAACGAACAAACUUUUAUGAUUGCUGGGAGAGGUGAAUUAACCUCAGAUUGUUCUGGUUCACUUCACAGGCAGUGGCUGAGUAAUGCAUCGCCCUGAAACCGCCUGGAUCUCUCCUCAUGGCAGCUGUAGGAAACACAGGAACUCCGUGACCUGGAAAAUGUGGGACAACUGCCACAAGGUGACCCUGGAAGGCUGGGGUCUAUUCACAACACCACGAACACCCACCCGGAUCCUCCACUGUUGCUGGUGCUGUUGGAGGACAGAGGCUUGCUUGUCAUCUGGCGCUGUCAUCUAGGGGUGGACUCUGUAAGCAGCACAUCACCAAACCUGGGAAAAUACCUGUGCUGCAUAAAUUUAACCUUGCUGUCCAAGUGGAAUUAAAGAGAUUCUGAGACUGCCCUCAGUGACCUGCAAUUGACCGCUUGAACUUCUAAGUUAGGGUCAGUUGGGGCCCAGAAUAAGAGGUCAGAAACUGGUCAGCUUUCUCAAGCCCCAACAUGCUGAAUAGGAAGACUUUAUAGCUGUGAUUUAUGCAAUUUGCUGAGACAGGUUAAGGAGACCUUAAAACACACCACGGGGCUCACUUGCACAGGGACACCGUCCUCUUGGAAAAUAAAUUCUGAUUGUCCAGCGGGAAAUCUCUUGGG